GUCCUCGUUUCGGCAACACAUAUACUAAAAUUGGAACGGAACGAUGCAGAGAUUAGCAUGGCCCUUGAGCAAGGAUGACAUGCAAAUUCGUGAAGCAUUCUGUACUUUU
ensembl:snRNA U6 U6 spliceosomal RNA